CUUUUAAUUUCUAUUAUUUUUAAAGUUUCGCGGUUAUACCCCCAAAUUUCUCCACCUUCCUUUCAUCCUCUUCUCCAUCAUUUGUGAAAUCCUGCUUCAUCAUAGUUUCCUUUCUGCUUGAUCGAUCGCUUCCUGCUUCGAUUUGCUUUGCCUUAUAAUCUUCUUAUCGCGAUGCUCAGUAUAUCAAACCCAGCGCUUUGAUCGAUAAUUGAUCAAGGUACUCAUGGCUCCGUCAAGAAAGUCUAGAAGUGUGAAUAAGCGGUUUUCAUACAUUAAUGAGGCCACUUCUAAUAAAAAUGGGGAGAAUACCAACAAAAGUAGGCAGCGGAAGAGGAAGUUGUCUGACAUGUUAGGACCACAAUGGAGCAAGGAAGAGCUUGAGCGUUUCUACAAGGCAUAUCGUAAGCAUGGGAAAGAUUGGGAGAAGAUAACUGCUACAGUGCGUGACCGGUCUGUGGAAAAUGUAGAAGCCCUUUAUACCAUGAACAGGGCUUAUUUAUCUCUUCCACGAGGGUAUGCUUCUGCAGCUGGACUAAUAGCAAUGAUGACAGAUCAUUACAGUAAUCUGGAAGAAAGUGAAAGUGAACAAGAAACUAAUGAGCCUGUAGUGGCCCAUCAAAAACCUCAAAAGGGUGCUAGAGGAACUAAAGAAUUAGAUGCUUCUCCGGCCCCAGAUCUUGUGCAAUCCCAGUCAGGUGCAUCAAAUUAUGGCUGCUUGUCACUGUUGAAGAAGAGGCGCUCUGGAAGCAGGCCUUGGGCUGUUGGAAAAAGGACACCUCGUGUCCCUGUUUCUUAUUCAUUUGAUAAAGACAACAGGGAGAAGUAUAUUUCACCAAUUCGACAAGGUUUGAAAUUAAAGGGUGAUGCACUGGAUGAUGAUGUUGCUCAUGAGAUAGCAUUAGUAUUAACAGAGGCUUCACAAAAAGCUGGUUCUCCCCAGGUCUCUCAAACACCAAAAAGAAAACCAGAGACACCAUCACCUGUUCGGAAUGGUGAACAUGUGCCUGCUGAAUCAGAGACGACCAGCACCAAGCUUCGUGGCAGUGAAAUGGAUGAGGGUGGUUGUGAAUUAAGCUUGGGAAGAACAGAAGCUGAUUUAGGACAUUAUGUAAGAAAUAAACGUUUUGCGAAGGGGAAGAGAUAUCAUGUGAGGAAGCCAGAAGUGGAAGAAAAUGUAGAUGAUCAUUUGGAUGACUUAAAGGAAGCUUGUAGUGGGACAGAGGAAGGACAGAAGCUGGGUGCUGUCAAAGGAAAACUAGAAAUGGAGGGUUUGGGUACAAAACUCGUAAGGUCCUCUAGUAAGGGUCCAAGAAAGAGAAGCAAAAAAGUUCUCUUUGGAGAAGGUGAAGCUGAUGCCUUUGAUGCAUUGCAAGCUUUGGCAGAUUUAUCACUGAGAUUGCCAGAAGCACCUGUUGAUACAGAGUCAUCUGUUCAUGUUGAGGAACAGAAGAAUGAAAUCGUUUCCAAGACCAAGUUGAAAGGGAAUCAUUCAACUCCCAGAGUUAAAGUUGCCUCGAAAACAACUAAACAAGGAAAAGGUUUCCCUCAUGUUGUUAAAUCAAUUCCAGAAGUGAAGGAUGGAGACCAUCAGAUUAAUGUUGGGAUUCGGAAAAGAAGAAAGAAGUCUUUGCCAUCUAAGAUUUUAGAAAAUGAAGAACGUAUUGAUUCUCAUCUGGGUGAGUUCCAAAAGGUUGAGGGCACUGAUGAUGUAAGUCACUUAAUAAACAAAGCCAAAUGCUCUCAUGAUUCUGCAUACCAGAAACAAGGGAAAUUGAUGAAAUCUCAAGAACUUACUUCCACCGACCAUGGAAGGGAUUCAAAUGAUUCAGCUCCAUCUUCCAUACAGGUUUUAUCUUCAAACCAAUUCAACUUACCUACCAAAGUGAGGAGUAGGCGUAAAGUCAAGUCACCAAAACCUUCUAUUGAUAAAGAUGCUCCGUCUUCUGAGAACAUUGUAAAUGGCCAAUACAAUAUUGCCAUUCCUUCCCUCAAUGACAAUGCAUUCAAUCUUAAGAAAAAGCUUUCUAAUUGCCUUUCCUGGUAUCAAGUUCGGAGGUGGUGUGUUUUUGAAUGGUUCUACAGUGCAAUUGAUUACCCAUGGUUCGCUAAAAGGGAGUUUGUGGAAUACCUGGAUCAUGUUGGAUUGGGCCAUAUUCCUAGAUUAACUCGUGUUGAAUGGGGUGUUAUAAGAAGUUCCCUUGGUAAACCACGUAGAUUUUCAGAGCAGUUUUUAAAGGAAGAGAAAGAGAAGCUUAAUCAAUACCGUGAAUCUGUCAGAAACCAUUACACAGAACUUCGUGCUGGUACUAGGGAUGGACUUCCUACUGAUUUGGCUCGACCUUUAUCUGUUGGACAACGUAUUAUUGCUCUUCACCCUAGAACGAGAGAGAUUCAUGAUGGAAGUGUACUUACUGUUGAUCAUAACAGAUGCCGAGUUCAGUUUGACGAACCUGAACUAGGGGUUGAAUUUGUCAUGGAUGUUGAUUGCAUGCCAUUAAAUCCAUUGGAAAAUAUGCCUGCAUCUCUUACCAGGCACAAUAUUUUUUUCAAUAAAUUUAUUGAGAACUUAAAUGACAUCAAAAUGAAUGGGCAACCGAUGGAAAGGAAGGUGGAAGGAUACAUAAAACUUGCUCCAUGUGAGAAUCUGGAGAAUGGGACUGGUUUUCCACAUACUUCUCCAUCAACUCAUCUUAUUAGCAAUUUAUUUCAGCAUGCAAAGGGCGGUUCAACAAAUUCUACUAUGCAAGUUAGCGUCGAGUCAGGUGAACCUGUUAUUGCUCAACCUUUUAUUCUUGCACAUGUCCAAGCAAAGGAAGCUGAUAUCCAAGCUCUUUCUGAGUUGACUCGUGCUCUUGACAAGAAGGAGGCUGUGGUUUCUGAGUUGAAGCGCUUGAAUGAUGAGGUGGAAAACCAGAAGAAUGGAGAAAACUCCCUAAAUGAUUCUGAACUUUUUAAGAAGCAUUAUGCUGCUGUACUUUUGCAGUUAAAUGAAGUCAAUGAACAGGUCUCUUCUGCUCUCUAUUGCUUGAGGCAACGUAACACAUAUCAAGGAAAUAACCCACACAUCUGGUUGAAGCCCAUAAUUUGUAUAGGUGAACCAGCUGGGAGCUGUGGCUCGGUUGACCAUUCUGCAGAUGAGACCCAAGAACCUGGAUCUCAUGUGUCUGAGAUUGUUGAAAGUUCAAGAGCAAAAGCUCAGACAAUGGUUGAUGCAGCUAUGCAGGUUGGACGCUAUUUUGACAUUUCCUGUUUGCGUGUCCGAGUUCUUUGUCUAGACUACAGCACUGUCAUCUUUGAAGAAGGGAGGAAGUGGCUUUGAGAGUAUUGAAGAGGCUAUAGAUUUUGUAAAUAAUCAACUUUCAGUAGAUGAUUUAAGCACAGCAAGCAUGCAAACCUCUACCACUGCAAAUUUAGCACACAGCAGUCUGGCUUCUCAGGAUCAGCCAAGUUCCUGUGCAACAAAUGUGGGGACAAACAACCAUGCUCCUGGUACUCACUUGGACCUUAUUUCUGACCAAAAUGAAGCACAAAUCCCUUCAGAACUCAUUACACAAUGUGUAGCUACUUUGCUUAUGAUUCAGAAAUGUACAGAACGGCAGUUUCCGCCAAGUGAUGUUGCCCAGGUACUAGAUUCUGCAGUUACAAGUUUGAAGCCAUGUUGUUCACAAAAUCUUCCAAUAUAUGCAGAUAUUCAGAAAUGCAUGGGAAUUAUUAGGAAUCAGAUAUUGGCACUCAUACCUACAUAGCUCAUAAUAAUUGCUAUAUUUUUUUUCUCGGUUACUUCCCUUCCUAAGUGUAUAAUAUCUGAGUGGAAUCAGUUGCCUGAAAAAUGACAAAUUGGCAUGUAUUCUCCAUUUUUUUUCCCUAUAUCUUGUUUGGUAAGCUAAACAGGAGUCUGUACAUGUACCAAAAUACCUGUGGUUCCACGAUACUGCUGUCAAUAUAAGAAUCAGCAUCUCUUAUUCUUUGUGCCCCCUAGCGGUGGUCA